UCAAAGCUUACCGAAGAUUAUCAAACUCCGAAUGCCGUAAAGAUGAUGUAUGGGAGUCAGACUGCACGAGAUAAGUUGGGUAGUCAAAAGGGAAAGAGCCCAGACCUACAGCUAAGGUCCCAAAGUACGUGUUAAGUGGAAAAGGAUGUGGGAUUUCGAAGACAACUAGGAUGUUGGCUCAGAAGCAGCCAUACAUUCAAAGAGUGCGUAAUAGCUCACUAGUCGAGAGGUCCUGCGCCGAAAAUGUCCGGGGCUGAAACACGACACCGAAGCUUAGGAAUCGAAAGAUUGGUAGAGGAGCAUUGAAUACGGAACGAAGCAGUACCGGAAGGAGCUGUGGACUGUAUUGAAGAGAGAAUGCCGGAAUGAGUAGCGAGAUUUAAGUGAGAAUCUUAAAGGCCGAAUAUCUAAGGUUUCCAGGGUAAAGCUGAUCUUCCCUGGGUAAGUCGGGGCCUAAGGCGAGGACGAAAGUCGUAGUCGAUGGAUAACAGGUUGAAAUUCCUGUACCGCAUAUAUUCAGAAAUGUGGGGACACAGAUGGAGAGUACAACCCGGGAAUGGAUAGACCGGGGCAAGCGAGGUAGGAGAAUGGCAGGCAAAUCCACCAUUCAAUCUGAAGACGUGACGCGUACCGAACAAGAGUAGGGAAGUGUAUGAGCCAGCUGUCGAGAAAAGCCGCUAUUGUGAUAUAUGCGCCCGUACCGUAAACCGACACAGGUGGAUGAGGAGAGAAUCCUAAGGCCGGCGGGAGAAGUGUUGUUAAGGAACUCGGCAAAAUGACCCCGUAACUUCGGGAGAAGGGGUGCCUCGGAAGAGGCCGCAGAGAAAUGGCCCAAGCAACUGUUUAGCAAAAACAUAGGUCUAUGCAAAACCGAAAGGUGAGGUAUAUGGGCUGACGCCUGCCCGGUGCUGGAAGGUUAAGAGGAGAGCUUAGCGCAAGCGAAGGUUUGAAUUUAAGCCCCAGUAAACGGCGGCCGUAACUAUAACGGUCCUAAGGUAGCGAAAUUCCUUGUCGGGUAAGUUCCGACCCGCACGAAAGGCGUAAUGAUUUGGGCACUGUCUCAACAACACACCCGGUGAAAUUGAAAUACCAGUGAAGAUGCUGGUUACCUGCGCCAGGACGGAAAGACCCCAUGGAGCUUUACUCCAGCUUGAUACUGGGAUUCGGUACUACCUGUACAGGAUAGGUGGGAGGCUUCGAUCACGGGACGCCAGUUUCGUGUGAGCCGCUGUUGGGAUACCACCCUUGUAGUACUGGAUUCCUAACCUACAGCCGUGAACCGGCUGGGGGACAAUGUCUGGCGGGGAGUUUGACUGGGGCGGUC
rnacentral:rRNA from 1 species